GCGCCGCUGUUGCCAGGGGAGCCGGGGCAGGGGAACGGGACUGGGUUGCGGAGGCCGCUCGGUUCCGCCCGGCCCGGCCCUUCCACGGGAAACGCAGGGGAAACGCCGGCUAGAGAUGGGGACCGCGGAGAGAAGCGGGACCCCGGGAAGAAGCGGCCCCUCCAUGUCGGCCCUUCCGCCCGUGCGGGCCCGCCGGGUACCCUCUCUUGUAACCAAGCUUGGAGCCACCACCCAGCACCCACAGGCAGGAACCAGCCCCGCACACCUCCCUGACCUGUGGGUUAUUACAGCUCCCAACCUCUCCCAACCUGUGGGUUAUUACGGCUCCCUGACCUGUGGGUUACACCUCCUCAGGCCGCAGCAGCCAUGGACAAAGCUCUCAGUCACUUCCCCUCAGUGCCUGCUUGGAAACCACUUCUCUGUUGGCGUGUUACACGUUCGGACGUGACCAGGGCACUUCCAUCACUCACCCCGUUGAGGAGGCAGAGGAAGAACAUCUGAGCGUCCCUUGAAGCUCGGAGGGCUGUGUGACUGAGGUCACUGUUCAUCCCGUGCUUCUGUUUCUAUUCCACCAAAACUCUCACUUAGGCAAACACAGCCUAAAGUCCUGGAAGCUCCCCCUACUCGGCUUUACCCUGGAUGACUUCUCCGAGCCAGUGUCUGAUGUCUGAAAUGCAAUCGCAGUUAUGAAGGUUUGCAUACAAGGCCAUGAACUGUGGGUAACAACAGAGCCACUACCAUUGUAAGAAAAAAAAGACGGAAUAAUGAGAUUAUCGCAGUUUAAAUUACUAAGCAACAGUUUCUCUGACAAUGAACUUAGUAACGCUCUGCCAUCUAUUUAAUCACGCUAAUGAGACAGAACAACUCCACUUAGAUACAAAUUACUCUGCAUUUCAUUUAAAUAAGGGUCAGGGAGCAAAAAGCCACACAAGCCACCACACUUCUGCUGUACAGCACAUCCAGCAAAAGACCUCCUUUGUUUCCAGAAUGGACCCAGGCUUUCUGGCCAUGAGCUGCCAAGGCAGGGCUGCACAGGGCAUCUUGCUCAAACCUCCCACCUCCACUCCCCAACUGCCUGUGUGUGGGCCCAGAGCCUCUCUGGCUUGGGAACAGCUCCUUGGUUUGGAGAGGUGAGCAUUGGUUUACCAAACAGAUUUAGAGGGCAAGAGAUCUCUGAUUUCUCUUUGUUCUAAAGUAAAAGCAUGCACAGUCUCUUGUGUAAGAAACAAUUAUAUCCCCCAGUUCCCACUGCUUAAAAUAUGCCUCUUGUUCAUCAGGCUGACUGUCGAAGCCAAGCAGCACGGCUUGUUGAGAGUCUUCUCAUUUAUCCAGCUGGUGCCAUCAUGAUCAUCUUAAUAUAAAAAUCUGGUUUGGUAUGUGUAUCUCACCAUUUAAAACUGAUGACUUCCCUUGGAUAUUUAAAAAUUUUGUUUCAAAUCCAUGCCUCUUGGGCUGAAGCUGGUUGUGAGAGAGCAGGUCUGUAAUAAACUGAAGAAAAUUGACUGGCA